GAUGAACGCUGGCGGCGUGCUUAACACAUGCAAGUCGAACGGACUUUUAAUGAAGCCUAGCGAUUUAAAAGUUAGUGGCGGACGGGUGAGUAACGCGUGAGUAACCUGCCUUACAGAGGGGGAUAACGUUCGGAAACGAACGCUAAUACCGCAUAAUGUAUCUGAUACCGCAUGGUAUUGAUACCAAAGAUUUUAUCGCUGUAAGAUGGACUCGCGUCUGAUUAGAUAGUUGGUGAGGUAACGGCUCACCAAGUCGACGAUCAGUAGCCGGACUGAGAGGUUGGCCGGCCACAUUGGGACUGAGACACGGCCCAGACUCCUACGGGAGGCAGCAGUGGGGAAUAUUGGGCAAUGGGCGCAAGCCUGACCCAGCAACGCCGCGUGAAGGAAGAAGGCUUUCGGGUUGUAAACUUCUUUUAACAGGGACGAACAAAAUGACGGUACCUGUUGAAUAAGCCACGGCUAACUACGUG
rnacentral:rRNA from 1 species